GCAAUUCACUGAUGACCUUGGGAUGUUUAAUAAACUCAAAAAGUUUACACAAACAGUAUGAGCCCAUCAUAACAACGAAAUAAUGUUAAGGUUACAAAACCUAUUGAGUCCCGCAUCUGAUAUAGCACAUGACCAUUAAUCCUGCAUCAGGCGCUGUAUUCAAAUGGCUGAGGAGGUUGGGGCUCGUCAUCUACUGCCAUCGCCGAUGAGGGCUGACUUCCAGCUACAGUCCCAGUACCAGCUGCUGCCGAGGCCGGAGUCGAUG
rnacentral:misc_RNA from 1 species